rnacentral:antisense_RNA from 1 species
GGAAGCCCUAAGAACUCAAGGGAGAUAGGGGUGGCAGGGGCAUUUCCCUGGAUGCCUGGAGCAUGGAGGGUGCGAAAUAAGGAGGCUUUCCUUCCCCAUUGAUGAGCUGAAGUUGAUUCCGCACGGGGAAGGAAAGGGACAGGAAGCAUAAUUGGAUGUGCAAGCCUGUGGUUCUUCAGGAAGUUAACACGUGGAACUAACACUGUUGGAUGCUGCUGAACUCUCAGAAAAAUCAUCAUUGACAUCCAACACCAGCACUGGAAUGUUCAUCAGAGCCUCAAAGUGGAGCCUAUAAGAAGCGUGAACGUUUGGGGGACAGAAAAAAAGAAAAGUAACUUGAGUCAAGUUUCACAUACUCGCCAAGUCUUACUCAGAGAACAGAUCUAAACUCAACAUGACUUUUCAAAGAAACUGCAUGU